GCCCGGCUAGCUCAGUCGGUAGAGCAUGAGACUCUUAAUCUCUCGUGGUCGUGGGUUCGAGCCCCACGUUGUGCA